UCGGGGAUGGGAGCGCCUAGGGACCCGAACCGAGUGCACCUGCUGCAGCCUGGCACUAGGGAUUUGAAAAUCCAUGGAGAUGGAAACCUAUGCCGAGGUUAGAAGACCUAGAUCCACUUUGCAGGAUUUUAAAUAUCCUUCAAGCCUCAGUGCCUGGCAGACUGGACUUCGGACUUCCAGCUCCGAUGCUGAAAAAGGAGUUGUUUUUUUUUUUUCCCCCACUUUGCUUCCUUCCUUGUUGAGGCUGAGAACAUACCGUGCUUUGGAGGGCCACCAUCUAGGGGUACUCGCUUCUCCAAACCUUGGAACCCGAGGUCUAGCCUUGGAAAGAGUUGCCGCCUUACCGUCUCUCCUCGCCUGGAGAAGCCCCAGCUAUGUGCGCUACUGCAGGGUCACAGUGCCGCGGUGGCGAGCUUCUUUCGUGGUCCCUGUCGCCGUCAGUUUCUUGAGAUUUCAGACUCUGGGCUUGGAAACCAGUUGACUGCCUUUCUUAGCGAGGUGCCAUCGGAAACCUGUGGAGGAAUGUUUGGAUUAUGAAUGCUCGCCGUGCCGAGUCCUCGAAGCUGUGUGACAGAGGUGGAGCACCUGGAAUGCACAGAGAACCAGGUUCCCUUUGGAAAAUAUUUACUCUCUUCCACCAGCCCAAACCUGAAGGUACCAUCAGUAUGUGAGGCCUACAACAGGGUUCUCUGUUUUCCUGUAGCCAGCCUCUCUGAUGCCCCCAACAAUGUAUUUGAAAAGCA
rnacentral:lncRNA from 1 species